rnacentral:rRNA from 1 species
AGCGAACGCUGGCGGCAUGCUUAACACAUGCAAGUCGCACGGGCAGCAAUGUCAGUGGCGGACGGGUGAGUAACGCGUAGGAACGUGUCCUGAGGUGGGGGACAACCCCGGGAAACUGGGGCUAAUACCGCAUAUGGGCUGAGGCCCAAAGCCGAGAGGCGCCUUUGGAGCGGCCUGCGUCCGAGUAGGUAGUUGGUGGGGUAAAGGCCUACCAAGCCUGCGAUCGGUAGCUGGUCUGAGAGGACGACCAGCCACACUCGGGCUGAGACGAGGCCCAGACACACCUGGGAGGGAGCAACGGCCAAGAUUCGAACGGGGGGCGGAGGUGGGUAAAGUGGAACAGUGGGGGAAAACCUGGCCCACGAGUGCGGCGGGGGUGAAGAGGGUCUAGGAAUGGAAAGCCCUUUCGACGGGGACGAUGAUGACGGUACCCGGAGAAGAAGCCCCGGCUAACUUCG